UCCAUUCCCCUCCUCGCUCGAUUCGGCAGCGCCUCCUCCUCUGUUAUGAAUCCUCUGUUCUACUUCGAUCCCUAACCCUAACCCUAAGGCGACGGCGCCGUUGCCCGCGGCCUCUCCCUUCACCGACGGCGCCAUCUCGUCUGAGUCCGAGCUGGAGGAGCACAUGUACAUCAGGGAGGCAGCAAGGCCAACACGCCGUGGGGAGGCAGCAAGGCCAGCAAGCCGUCGGUCCGUCCUUCCUUGGUUCCUCACCGAGCGCCACGAAGAGGAAGAGAUAAUGGUCAGGAGAUAAUUGUGUUUCUUUGAACAUUAUAAUCAGUAUGUUGGAGAAGUUUGACAAAUAUUGGGAAGAAAAGAACAAUGCCAUGGUGAUCGCAACCAUCUUUGAUCCUAGGUACAAGAUGGGUUAAUUACAUAGAGUGGGCCUUUGGAGAACUAUAUGGAGAAGGAAGUACGAGGUUUAGGACUAAGAUCACAACUGUGGAGAAAGAGUUGGCAGCCUUGUAUGAAAAAUGUGUUGCUCAAAAUAAGCGAGCUGGAAAUGGAGAAAGCUCAUCUUCCUCUACAAACAUUCCUAGUAUCCCGGUUCAAGCUGGGUAUGAGUCCUUCUUAUCGUCCCGUUCAACAAGAAUAUCAAAGAGUGAGUUGAGGAACUACUUAGAGGAUGAGGUUGCCCCUCGCAACAAGGCUCUUGAUCUUCUUGGUUGGUGGAAAGACAAUGCUCCAAGGUACCCAAUGUUGGCCAAGAUAGCCAAGAGGUUCCUUACUAUCGCGGCUACCUCCGUGUCUUCGGAAUCUACCUCCAGCACGACCGGAAGGAUUUUAGAUGACUAUAGGAGUUCGUUAAAACCGGUUAUGGUGCAAGUUAUAUCAAGGGUGCUUAUGUUGACUUGAAUCUGGUGCCGAGGGAUGAGAAUGAAGAGGAUGAUGUUGAGAACAUCAAGUUACCCACUGUGGUGGAGGAGAUCAACGAUUGACAUUCAUCAUGUGGAUGUUGAUCUUGCUAUUUUGGAGAUGAAUGUCAAAGUGAUCUUUCUCAUGUGAAGGCUACUUUUGCAUUUCUAUUAUGUUUGUCAUGAACUAUGAAUUGUCACUGCUAGCUUGGAGAUGAACCUCUCAUUUGUGUUAUGUUCAACUUGUCAAUUGCCAUGGACUUGGAAUUGUUAUUGCAAGUUUGUAAUCGUGUCGUUCAAUGAUGAUAAGACCUUAUGUUUGUGGAUGUGAUAUUUGUCCUUAACC